CGUCAUUAUCAACCCUCAAGCAUGGCUUGUCAUUGGACCUCGUCGUUGAAGACGGGCCCGAAAGAUAACGACGGAGUCGUGUUUGACCCUAGAUGCAAUGAGCCUUUUUAGCACGCAUGAUAGUGGUCAGCCGGCCUGGUCUUAACCAUUUAUUUCUCAAGGUUGACCUCGGAUCAGGUAGGAAUACCCGCUGAACUUAA
rnacentral:misc_RNA from 1 species